AGUGGAUGGGGAGCAACCUAGUUGUGCGUGUGUAAAGGUAGUGCCAAGAAAAGCGAUGAUCAUGUUGAAAAUCAAUUCCCGGUACCCGAAACCGACACAGGUGGGCAAGUAGAGAAUACUAAGGGGCGCGAGGUAACUCUCUCCAAGGAACUCGGCAAAAUGACCCCGUAACUUAGGGAGAAGGGGUGCCACCGAGAGGUGGUCGCAGUGAAGAGGCCCAGGCGACUGUUUAGCAAAAACAUAGGUCUCUGCAAACUCGAAAGAGGAGGUAUAGGGGCUGACGCCUGCCCAGUGCCGGAAGGUUAAAGAAGUUGGUCAGUUUUAGGAUGAAGCUAGCGACUGAAGCCCCGGUGAACGGCGGCCGUAACUAUAACGGUCCUAAGGUAGCGAAAUUCCUUGUCGGGUAAGUUCCGACCCGCACGAAAGGCGUAACGAUCUGGGCGCUGUCUCGGAGAGAGGCUCGGCGAAAUAGGAUUGUCUGUGAAGAUACGGACUACCUGCAUUUGGACAGAAUGACCCUAUGAAGCUUUACUAUAGCUUGGAAUUGUGUUCGGGCUUCCUGUGCGCAGGAUAGGUGGGAGGCGUAGAAGGUAUUCUUGUGGGGAUACUGGAGCCAACGGUGAGAUACCACUCUCAGGAGGCUAGAAUUCUAACUUAAUUAAGGACAGUUUCAGGUGGGUAGUUUGACUGGGGCGGUCGCCUCCAAAAAGGUAACGGAGGCGUACAAAGGUUCCCUCAGACUGGUUGGAAAUCAGUCGAAGAGUGCAAAGGCAGAAGGGAGCUUGACUGCGAGAAGUACAGUUCGAGCAGGGUGGAAACACGGUCUUAGUGAUCCGACGGUGCUGUGUGGAAGGGCCGUCGCUCAACGGAUAAAAGUUACUCUAGGAUAACAGGCUGAUCUCCCCCAAGAGUUCACAUCGACGGGGAGGUUUGGCACCUCGAUGUCGGCUCAUCGCAACCUGGGGCGGAAGUACGUCCCAAGGGUUGGGCUGUUCGCCCAUUAAAGCGGUACGUGAGCUGGGUUCAGAACGUCGUGAGACAGUUCGGUCCAUAUCCGAUGUAGGCGUGAGAAUAUUGAGAGGAGCCUUCCUUAGUACGAGAGGACCGGGAAGGACGCACCGCUGGUGUACCUGUUAUGAUGCCAAUUGUAAACGCAGGGUAGCCAAGUGCGGAGAGGAUAACCGCUGAAAGCAUCUAAGUGGGAAGCCCACCUCAAGAUGAGUAUUCUGGUGUAAGGUCACGGGAAGACGACCCGUAAAUAGGCACGAGGUGGAAGUGCAGAGAUGUAUGAAGCCGAAGUGUACUAAUAGACCGUCGGCUUGACC
rnacentral:rRNA from 1 species